rnacentral:rRNA from 1 species
AGCGGAGGAAAAGAAACCAACAGGGAUUGCCCCAGUAACGGCGAGUGAAGCGGCAACAGCUCAAAUUUGAAAUCUGGCUUCGGCCCGAGUUGUAAUUUGUAGAGGAUGCUUUUGGUGAGGUGCCUUCUGAGUUCCCUGGAACGGGACGCCAGAGAGGGUGAGAGCCCCGUAUAGUUGGACACCGAGCCUCUGUAAAGCUCCUUCGACGAGUCGAGUAGUUUGGGAAUGCUGCUCAAAAUGGGAGGUAUAUCUCUUCUAAAGCUAAAUACUGGCCAGAGACCGAUAGCGCACAAGUAGAGUGAUCGAAAGAUGAAAAGCACUUUGAAAAGAGGGUUAAAUAGUACGUGAAAUUGUUGAAAGGGAAGCGCUUGUGACCAGACUUGUGCCCGGCUGAUCAUCCAGUGUUCUCACUGGUGCACUCUGCCGGGCUCAGGCCAGCGUCGGUUCUCGCAGGGGGACAAAAGCUUCGGGAACGUAGCUCCUCCGGGAGUGUUAUAGCCCGUUGCUCAAUACCCCUGCGGGGACCGA